GUGCCAGCCGCCGCGGUAAUACGUAGGGUCCAAGCGUUAAUCGGAAUUACUGGGCGUAAAGCGUGCGCAGGCGGUUGUGCAAGACCGAUGUGAAAUCCCCGGGCUUAACCUGGGAAUUGCAUUGGUGACUGCACGGCUAGAGUGUGUCAGAGGGGGGUAGAAUUCCACGUGUAGCAGUGAAAUGCGUAGAGAUGUGGAGGAAUACCGAUGGCGAAGGCAGCCCCCUGGGAUAACACUGACGCUCAUGCACGAAAGCGUGGGGAGCAAACAGGAUUAGAUACCCUGGUAGUCCACGCCCUAAACGAUGUCAACUAGUUGUUGGGGAUUCAUUUCCUUAGUAACGUAGCUAACGCGUGAAGUUGACCGCCUGGGGAGUACGGUCGCAAGAUUAAAAACUCAAAGUAGUAAGUAGGCGUGUAGACGUAGUCGACGAGCACACGGAGGUAG
rnacentral:rRNA from 1 species